rnacentral:misc_RNA from 1 species
AAGUCGUAACAAGGUUUCCGUAGGUGAACCUGCGGAAGGAUCAUUAUUGAAUAUUCCUGAUGAGUUGUAGCUGGCUCUUUGGAGCAUGUGCACGCUUGUCUUGAUCUUAUUCAUCCACCUGUGCACAUUUUGUAGUCUUUUGGGCUGAGUCGAGUAUCGGAUGGAUGUCUAUCCGGAUGUGAGGACUGCUGAGUGCGAAAGCAUACGGCUCUUCUCUGUUUGACCUCACCCUUGAGUACUAUGUAUUCAUAUACCACAUAGUAUGUUGUAGAAUGUGAUCAUUGGGCCUUUGAGCCUAUAAUAAUCAUAUACAACUUUCAGCAACGGAUCUCUUGGCUCUC